rnacentral:rRNA from 1 species
UGGGGAAUAUUGGGCAAUGGGCGAAAGCCUGACCCAGCAACGCCGCGUGAAGGAAGAAGGUCUUCGGAUUGUAAACUUUUGUCUUAUGGGACGAUAAUGACGGUACCAUAGGAGGAAGCCACGACUAACUACGUGCCAGCAGUCGCGGUAAUACGUAGGUGGCAAGCGUUAUCCGGAAUUAUUGGGUGUAAAGGGUGCGUAGGCGGGAUGUAAAGUCAGAUGUGAAAUACCGCAGCUUAACUGCGGAGCUGCAUUUGAAACUUACGUUCUUGAGUGAAGUAGAGGUAGGCGGAAUUCCUAGUGUAGCGGUGAAAUGCGUAGAUAUUAGGAGGAACACCGGUGGCGAAGGCGGCUUACUGGGCUUAUACUGACGCUGAGGCACGAAAGUGUGGGGAGCAAACA